GAGACGGGAUUUCACCAUGUUGGCCAGGCUGGUUUUGAACUCCUGAUCUCAAGUGAUCCCGCCCGCCUCGGCCUCCCAAAAAAAUGCAGUGUUUGUGUGAUGCCCUUCUGUGGUGUUUGCAAGAUUUAUACAAAAUUGGGGUUUCUUUUUUCUCUAGGACGUGUGCUCACUGGAAACGGCAUGUGCUUGGGGUGUUGGGAAGGUGACUUCGCCUGUGAUGGACUUCCAGUGUGAGCACUGGCCAGGGUGACCAGGCUGACCUGCACCAGCCCUGAUCAAGAUGCAGAGGCCAGGAUGUGGGCCCAGCCCUGUGCAGGAGGCUGGCUGGAAUAAAGGUACAGAUACAGGCCUUGCCCCCUCUGGGACCACUGGCACUCGGGGUGUUUGCAGCCUCAGAGCCCAGCUUUCCACAAGCCCACCUGCCCCCAGGGCCACAGCUGCAUCUCCUGCUCUGCUUUCAUUACAGGGAUGAGCAGGCUGGCAUUGGGGCACUCGCUGCCCCUGCCUGGGUAGUGCUGUGUAUUCCAGCCAGGGGCCACUGCCAGGACCACCCCUCCAUUUUCAUAUCGCGAUUCUUUUUUUUUUUUUUUUUUUUUUUUUUGAGA